rnacentral:rRNA from 1 species
UACGGGGGGAGCAAGCGUUGUUCGGAUUUACUGGGCGUAAAGGGCGCGUAGGCGGCCUCUGCAAGUCGACUGUGAAAUCUCCGGGCUUAACCCGGAACGGUCAGCCGAUACUGCAGGGCUAGAGUGCAGAAGGGGCAACUGGAAUUCUCGGUGUAGCGGUGAAAUGCGUAGAUAUCGAGAGGAACACCUGCGGCGAAGGCGGGUUGCUGGGCUGAUACUGACGCUGAGGCGCGAAAGCCAGGGGAGCGAACGGG